GACAGAGGGUGCAAACGUUGUUCGGAAUUACUGGGCGUAAAGCGCGUGUAGGCUGCCUCGAAAGUCAGGUGUGAAAUGCCUGAGCUCAACUGAGGCAUUGCGCUUGAAACUGAACUGCUUGAGUAUCCCAGGGGUGUGCGGAACUGCCAGUGGAGCGGUGAAAUGUGUUGAUAUUGGCAGGAACACCGGAGGCGAAAGCGGCACACUGGGGGAUAACUGACGCUGAGGCACGAAAGCCAGGGGAGCGAACGGG
rnacentral:rRNA from 1 species